UACGAAGGGGGCUAGCGUUGCUCGGAAUCACUGGGCGUAAAGCGCGCGCAGGCGGCACUUCAAGUAAGGUGUGAAAUCUCCCUGCUCAACGGGGAGGGUGCACUUUAGACUGAGGAGCUAGAGGACGGUAGAGGGGGGUGGAAUUGCUGGUGUAGCGGUGAAAUGCGUAGAGAUCAGCAGGAACACCCGUGGCGAAGGCGGCCCCCUGGGCCGUACCUGACGCUGAGGAGCGAAAGCAUGGGGAGCGAACAGG
rnacentral:rRNA from 1 species